GAAAAAGUUAGAAAAUCAAUUUUAGGAGGAAAGUAAAGGUUAUUGAAAUUUAUAGUUUAAACGAUAGUUUAAAAGUACUGUGAAGGAAAAAGUAAAUAAAAAGAAAAUUAAAAUAGAAAUUAUAAAAUAAUGUACCUUGUGUAUUAGGGAAAAUUAAAAUUGGUUAAUUAUCAUUAAAGGUCUCGAAAUAAAUAACAGUUAAUUUUAAAAAAAGUUUUUGUAGUAAAAAAAUUUUUAAUUUAAAAUUAAAGAUGAAAUAUUAGUCGAGUUUUAUUAUAUCUAGUUUUUUAAUAAAUGAAUUGAAUUCAAGCUUGAAGUAUAAAGGUUUAGACUGCUUUAAGUUCAGGAGUAGAAGGGAAUAGCUUUUUAUUCAAAAUUUUAAUUAUAAUAGUUAAAAAAAUACAAAAUUUUGUAUUAGGCUUAGAAGUAGCUAUAAUUUUAAAGUGUUUAAACUAAGAAAAAGAGAAAAAUUAUUUAUUUUAACUUUAAUUAAUAUUAAAAUAUAUAUACAAAUAUUAUUUAUUUAGGUAUUUUGAUUUUAUUAGUAAAAUGUAAUGUUACAUAAAAUAUUUGUAGUAUUAAAUAUUAUGUAAAAGAUUUGAGAUAUUAUAAAGGAACUCGGCAAAAAAAUUCCUUGCCUGUUUAUCAAAAACAUGUCUGCUUGAAGAUAUAGGCAGUCUAGCCUGCUCACUGAUAAAAUUAUUUAAGGGCCGCGGUAUAUUGACCGUGCAAAGGUAGCAUAAUCAUUAGAGGUUUAAUUGGAAUCUGGUAUGAAUGGUUGGACAAAGGAAAAACUGUCUUUAUAAUGAAUUUUGAAGUUUACAUUUAAGUGAAAAGGCUUAAAUAAUUCAAGGGGACGAUAAGACCCUAUAAAGCUUUAUAAAUAAAUUAAAUUUAUCUAAGUUAAAUAAUAAAAGUUAAGUUUAAUUAUUUUAUUUUGUUGGGGUGAUGUGAGCAUAAUUAUAGUUAACUGCUUAAAAAAAAUUCUAUAUAAAAGAGUUUAAAUUUAUGAUCCUUUAUAAAGAUUGAAAGACUAAGUUACUUUAGGGGUAACAGCGUUAUUUCUUUUGAGAGUUCAUAUCGAAAAAGAAGAUUGCGACCUCGAUGUUGAAUUAAAAUAUCUAUAUAAUGUAGUCGUUAUAAAAGAGGGUCUGUUCGACCUUUAAAUUUUUACAUGAUUUGAGUUCAGACCGGCGUGAGCCAGGUCGGUUUCUAUCUCUUGAUAAGUAAAAAAUUACUUUAGUACGAAAGGAUUAAGUAAAUUUAAAUAGUUUGGUUAAAUGAAAU
rnacentral:rRNA from 1 species